rnacentral:rRNA from 1 species
UGGGGAAUUUUCCGCAAUGGGCGAAAGCCUGACGGAGUGACGCCGCGUGGGGGACGAAGGCCUUCGGGUUGUAAACCCCUGUCAGAGGGAAAGAAAGGUGUCGGCGCGAUAACAGCCGGCAUCUGACGGUACCUUCAGAGGAAGCCCCGGCCAACUCUGUGCCAGCAGCCGCGGUAAGACAGAGGGGGCAAGCGUUGCUCGGAAUUACUGGGCGUAAAGGGCGCGUAGGCGGGAUGGCAAGUCAGUCGUGAAAUCUCUCGGCUCAACCGAGAAACGUCGGCUGAUACUGCCGUUCUUGAGGGAUGCAGAGGAGACUGGAAUUCCCGGUGUAGCGGUGAAAUGUGUAGAGAUCGGGAGGAACACCGGUGGCGAAGGCGGGUCUCUGGGCAUCUCCUGACGCUGAGGCGCGAAAGCGUGGGGAGCAAACGGGAUUAGAUACCCCGGUAGUCCACGCUGUAAACGAUGACGACUAGGUGUGGGGUGGUUCAGUCCAUUCCGUGCCGCAGCUAACGCAUUAAGUCGUCCGCCUGGGGAGUACGGCCGCAAGGUUGA